UGGGGAUACGGGUCGAAAAGACUCGCUAAUACCGCAUAUGACGAAAGUUGAAAGGAGUAAUCCGUCUAAAGAUGAGCCCGCGUCCGAUUAGCUAGUUGGUAGAGUAAAAGCCUACCAAGGCGACGAUCGGUAGCUGGUCUGAGAGGAUGAUCAGCCACAAUGGGACUGAGACACGGCCCAUACUCCUACGGGAGGCAGCAGUGGGGUAAUUUUACGCAAUGGGCGAAAGCCUGACGUAGCGACACCGCGUGAGCGAAGAACGCCCCGUUGGGGUGUAAAGCUCCGUCAGCUGGAACGAAAAAAUGACGGUACCAGCAGAGGAAGCAUCGGCUAACUACGUG
rnacentral:rRNA from 1 species